UACGGAGGGUGCAAGCGUUAUCUGGAUUCACUGGGUUUAAAGGGUGCGUAGGUGGGCAAGUAAGUCAGUGGUGAAAUCUCCGGGCUUAACCCGGAAACUGCCAUUGAUACUAUUUGUCUUGAAUACUGUGGAGGUCAGCGGAAUAUGUCAUGUAGCGGUGAAAUGCUUAGAUAUGACAUAGAACACCAAUUGCGAAGGCAGCUUACUAUGGUGUCAUUGACACUGAGGCACGAAAGCGUGGGGAUCAAACAGG
rnacentral:rRNA from 1 species